ensembl:lncRNA
CGCAGCGGACGGGACCGCCGCGGUCCCUUUGCGGCCGCGGUCCUCGGAGCGGCGGCUCGCGCCGUUGCAGAGCCAAGAGCGCCCCCUGGCGGGAACGCGGCGGCGGUCCUCUAUGGCCUCUGCGUGCGAGGGGCUUGGGACGGGCGGCGUGCACGGCGGUGCGCCGGCUGGGAGGGCUCGGGAAAGGGGAAAUAGCAGCCAAGGUGAGAAAGGAGCGUACGGAAAGGGUGGCAGGGCUGGCUGGUCCUCACCAGAUAGGUGAGACUAUGCAAGAUAAUCGUUGUCAGCUUAACGGAGAUGAGAACUAGGGGAAAAGUUUGCCUCUCUCUGAUUUCUAUAGCAAUUACAAUUAUAUACUGUAUAUUUCCAUCAUACCUCCACACCAUAAAAACCACAGAACAACUGUCAGGGUGAUACAGACAUUUACUAUAGUCAACAUAAGAUGCACGAAUUAAGGAGUAGAUUAAAGUCCUACUAACUUUUUUUUUUUCCUUCACAAGAUCCCAAUUAAAUUAAACCUAAAAAGAUAUUAAAACAUAAUGUAAUGCUAAAAUGGGAUGGAAAGUACCGCAGUAAUAGCAGGGCAGCAGUCUCCAGCUACAGCAAAUGAGAGCAAACCCAAGUACAGCAGCUACAGAAAUGAAGGAAAAGAGCCACUUACCUUUAGAAGGCCUCAGGUAUGCAAGGAUCCCCAGCAAAAAAACCCCUCACCUCCACUGCCAACCCUUAAAUGAGGUCUGGGAAGGUGUGGAUCCUGGCUCCACCUCUUCCAGACAUUCAGGUGCACUGCACUGCACUCGUGCUCCCCUGGGUUUGCCCUGCCUUCCACCAGGUGCUCAAUCACUGCUUGAGGUUGUGACACGUAUAAAUGGAACUGCUUUGUUUUCAGUGAAAAAAGGGUGUGAUAGAAGUAACCCUAGAAGAAGGUAACAAUAUGCUAAGGAAAUAGCUAUUCUGGGGCACUUCAUUCCUCGUGUAGAUAGGUUGUUGAGAUAACGGAGGCACAGAUAGUCUCACAGUAGACUUCUCCAUGGAGUUUCCUGUAGCCUGUGUUUCUCAGUUUCUGCUUCGUAUUGAAGUAGCUUAUCUAAUGCAACUUUCUGUGUUUCAAGACUGCAUGAAGUCUGCAACACAAGCAUGCUGAAAUUGCAUCAGUCUGACAAAAGCAAGGUGGUAGAUAAAAAACAUCUAUUUGUAUUUGAGCUUGCAAGCUAGCAAGUACCUGCAGUGUUUCUUUUCGUAUUCUUUUUUUGCAUAUUCUGCUCUUAAGGCAUGCUAUUGUUCCUUAGUGGGUGUGUUCUGUAACAUAAAACAACUGAAAAUACAGUCUCCUUGGAGCUUACAUAAACCACUAGCAUCCCCCUGGAGAGCAUAUUUUGGGAAGCUCUUAAAUGAAGUGUUCUGCUGGGAGCGUGGCAGUGGUGCUUCUGUACCAACUGACCGUGGCUGAUGAAGUGUGAAAACUGAUGCCUUCUCCUGUGUCAGCAACAUUCAAUUGGCAGGACUGGGGAAGAGCAAUAGGGAACAAGCUGUCAUUUUUUUCAAGUAUGCAUUCAGAGUGAUAGCAAAUCAUAAUUUGGUUUAGAAUUGUUGAGUCUUAUACAAACAAAAUUCCCUGCUAGAUAAUUCUUAAAAUAGUAUUUUUUAGGUCUUAUUAUUGCCUGAGGUUGUUUGGUGUUGUCACAUCCUGAAUAGGCAAUUCUAAAACAGCACAGGAAUGUUAUAAUUUAUUUAUUAAAAAAUGUACUUGUUGCUAAGCUUCACUCAGUGUUUUGCAAGGCAAUUACAAUUCACAUUUUGCCUCUAUAUUUAUUAUGAAGUUACUAAGCUGGAAAAACAACAACGAAAACCAAACUGAGUCUGUAUUUAGCAAAUAGAGUUAAAAGGUAAUAAUCUUUGAUGUAUAACUAUGCUUUCCAUGUCAGUUGAUUUUUUUUCCCCAAAUGUAUUUAUAUUACUUGAUUUGAUGUCUCCUUUUUGGUGGCUCUUGUUUCUUCUUCUGUCUUACUUAGUUUAAAGAAAAAAAAAUCAUAUUUUCCAAGUGGUGUAAAUGUUGUGUCAUCUUUAACUUAGGAAGAAGUAGCUUCUGAUAUGCCUCUAUCUUAAUGAUUUCUUUGUUGUGGCUGAAGUCACUGGUGAAUUCUUUCCUCUGCCAACAUUUUUAAUGAUUAGAAUACAUCAGUUUUGGAAGAGACUGCCAGUUCUUAACUCCUAGAAAUAAUCCCUUAUUUUAUCAGUGUUGUUCACCCAAACAGAUAAACCAAUUAAGUAUGAGAAUAGGUAGAAUCAAGACCCAGGGUUAGGUCACAUUAAAUCCUAUUUUACAGCCAUUGCUUACUAUAUAGAUGCAUGCCCAAGCACUUGCAGUGGGAUGUGUUGACUUCUGUGUGGAAGUCAGUGCAUAUGAGAAGAUCAUUAGGACUGCAAAGAGCCACACACAAGUUACCAAACACCAGCAUUAAGGUUAAUUCUGUGCAGCGUAAUGUCCUUUGGUGCACGCAUUGCAAUCACUUAGAAUGCUGUAUGAUGGUGGAUCCUCCCACUCCAGAAGGUCACCCCUGCGAAUGAGACUGUUCCCUUUGUCCCUCACCUUCAGCCCUGUUGCAGUUCUCAGCUUUCUCCAGAUCCUCCAGCUACCCAUCUCCUUCUCCAGUGAGCCAGGACAAGGCAUUCUGGCACUCAGUACCUCUUCCUUCCUUCUCCUGCUUGGAUCCUCCCUGUUACUGCUCCUUUUUUUGCUCACCACCUGCCGUGGACCGCUCAUCACAGGAGGCCUGAAAGGACUGCUGUCUCCCUUGAACAGAAUCGUUGUGGCUUUCUUUAUUUUUCUUUAACAACCAUUGGGGGGUUCUUCUUUCACUGCUAUUGCUGUGCACAGUGAUGGGUCGCUGUGGGUAGAGGAAGAACGUCGCCGCUCUGGCUCUGCUGCUUGACUUUUGUCACAAUAGGGCACAAUGCCUGUUGUGAACAGGGGAGUAAGAUCUGAGAGAAAUUGAUUCUCCAAACAAACUUUUCAGAGGCGUAGCAAUAGCAUCAUUUGAGCUAUUUUAUUUUUUAAUUGGGAAUCUGUUCUCCCCUUUUGAUUCCUCUACAGAAGUUCGGAUCAGCUGUGAAAUAAGACGACAUUUGGACUUCCUGAAGGAGAGGGUCCUUUCCCUUCACAUUAACAAGGAGUCAGGACGUGAGGCCUGCACCUGUCUUCACAUUUCUGGGAGAAGUGACUGAAGUUCAGACAGUGAACAAGUAAUUGAGAACAAGCAUCAGAUAAACCCAGAAGCUGUGCUGCACCUUUGGGAAGACAUUCUGAUGCACUGAAAGACUUCACUCAUUGGUGUACCUAGAGAAGCUUUCCCUAUGGAAAGAAGCUAUUCUAAGGACAUGGAAAAGAACAGCUAAUGACUAAUCGAGUACCUUGGGGAAGGAAGAAGCCUGACCUUCAUUCACAAAUGAAUCAUUGUUGAAGUACCUGGAGCAAUACUUCAAGAGAAAAAUAACUUUAAGCACAGAGUUGCAGUUGCCAUGGAUAUGUGUAGUCAAUGGAAGAUGUAUGGGAACAGUUGAGUCAUGGCCUGAACCACUGAUUGAUCACCUGAGGCAAGCACUGAGUCAGCCCUGGGAGCACAGGUGAAGGCAAUUCAGCUGUGUGACCUGAAGGGGUGGAGCCUGGCUGCAUCCCUCCUAGACUGCAUUGAAGGGCUGACUGCCAGUGGGGAAUGAUUUCUUCCUGGAGAUCCCUCUCUUUGGAGUUUUCUACUGUGAGCCUAUGAUACGGG